GGUGAUUCUUAACUGAUGAUCUACACACACCAACAUGGGUAUGUGUGUUUUUGUGUGUAUAUGAAUGUUAAAGAUCUAUCCGGUGUAGCAUAAUAUAAACCCAAUUGUUACAUGUUUUUUAGGUUUUGAAUUACUUAAUGAGUGUGUUCAUAACCGACAACACUAAGGCCUCGUUUGGUUAGCGCAUCUCCAACCAUUGUUGACACAAUGGAAAGGUAAAAUAUAGCUUUUUUCUAACUAAUAAGCUUAAGUUAUUAGUGAAAUAUGUUAUUUAAUAUUAAUACCUCCAAUAAUAGUAAGGUGGUUCGAUUAAUUAACUAACUACUAUAAUUUGAUGUUUCGUUCCAACCAACAAUUACGAAAAAAAAUGAUCUAUGUUCUUGAUUUAGAACCAAACGAGGCCUUAGAGCGUUUUAAGUGAUGUUUGAGGACUUACCUAGGCCAAGAGGGUCGAAUCCGAAAUCUCCGGGGAGGCUGCAAAAUUGAGUGAUUACGAAGAUUAGACGCAUUUCGAAGCAUUUUUUGAUAAACUAUUUAAAGUAAAAAAAAUUUAAAAAAAAAAAAUUUGUUGGUAUGUAUUGAAAUUACCUGCCGUCGAGCCAUUCGGGAGGGGUGCUACCGGGGAACCAGAUAGGUCUAUCUGGAUCGGCCGCAACGCACACGGCAACCGAUCUUGUGUUGGAAGGUGCUGCAAACUUACUCACUCUCAAUUUUCUUCCUCCAAAGAAAGAAGCCUUUGUUGCUCCCACAAUCGCUCCAUUCUUUUGUGAA
rnacentral:lncRNA from 1 species